AGGGUUUGAUUAUGGCUCAGGAUGAACGCUAGCGGCAGGCUUAACACAUGCAAGUCGAGGGGUAACAGAAAGUGCUUGCACUUUGCUGACGACCGGCGCACGGGUGCGUAACGCGUAUGCAACCUACCUUCUACAGGGGGAUAGUCAAUAGAAAUGUUGAAUAAUACCCCAUACGAUCUUCAAGAGGCAUUACUUGAAGAAGAAAGCUCCGGCGGUAGAAGAUGGGCAUGCGUCCUAUUAGUUAGUUGGUGAGGUAACGGCUCACCAAGACUACGAUAGGUAGGGGCCCUGAGAGGGGGAUCCCCCACACUGGUACUGAGACACGGACCAGACUCCUACGGGAGGCAGCAGUGAGGAAUAUUGGACAAUGGAGGCAACUCUGAUCCAGCCAUGCCGCGUGCAGGAAGACUGCCCUAUGGGUUGUAAACUGCUUUUAUACAGGAAGAAACCUACUUACGUGUAAGUAGCUGACGGUACUGUAAGAAUAAGGAUCGGCUAACUCCGUGCCAGCCGCCGCGGUAAUAC
rnacentral:rRNA from 1 species